rnacentral:rRNA from 1 species
AGUGAACGCUGGCGGUAGGCCUAACACAUGCAAGUCGAACGGUAGCACAGGAGAGCUUGCUCUCUGGGUGGCGAGUGGCGGACGGGUGAGGAAUACAUCGGAAUCUACUCUGUCGUGGGGGAUAACGUAGGGAAACUUACGCUAAUACCGCAUACGACCUACGGGUGAAAGCAGGGGAUCUUCGGACCUUGCGCGAUUGAAUGAGCCGAUGUCGGAUUAGCUAGUUGGCGGGGUAAAGGCCCACCAAGGCGACGAUCCGUAGCUGGUCUGAGAGGAUGAUCAGCCACACUGGAACUGAGCGACGUCCCAGACGCUUACGGGUGGCAGCAGUGGGGAAUAUUGGACAAUGGGGGCAAGCCUGCUCCAGCCAUACCGCGUGGGUGAAGAAGGCCUUCGGGUUGUAAAGCCCUUUUGUUGGGAAAGAAAUCCAGCUGGCUAAUACCCGGUUGGGAUGACGGUACCCAAAGAAUAAGCACCGGCUAACUUCGUGCCAGCAGCCGCCGUAA